UACGUAGGGUGCGAGCGUUAAUCGGAAUUACUGGGCGUAAAGCGUGCGCAGGCGGUUUGCUAAGACCGAUGUGAAAUCCCCGGGCUUAACCUGGGAACUGCAUUGGUGACUGGCAGGCUAGAGUAUGGCAGAGGGGGGUAGAAUUCCACGUGUAGCAGUGAAAUGCGUAGAGAUGUGGAGGGAUACCGAUGGCGAAGGCAGCCCCCUGGGCCAAUACUGACGCUCAUGCACGAAAGCGUGAGGAGCAAACAGG
rnacentral:rRNA from 1 species